rnacentral:rRNA from 1 species
CCUACGGGUGGCAGCAGUGGGGAAUAUUGGGCAAUGGAGGAAACUCUGACCCAGCAAUGCCGCGUGAAUGAAGAAGGUCUUCGGAUUGUAAAGUUCUAUAGUCAGGGAAGAAGUCAAUGACGGUACCUGAAGAAUAAGCUCCGGCUAAAUACGUGCCAGCAGCCGCGGUAAUACGUAGGGAGCAAGAGGUGUGCGGAAUGACUGGGCGUAAAGGGUGCGUAGGGGGUUGUACAAGUUUGAAAGGUAAUACCCGGGUCUUAACUAGGGUGCUGCUUCUAACACUGUAAGACUUGAGUGCGGGAGAGGUUAGUGGAAUUCCUAGUGUAGCGGUGGAAUGCGUAGAUAUUAGGAGGAACACCAGAGGCGAAGGCGGCUAACUGGACUGCAACUGACGCUGAGGCACGAAAGUGUGGGGAGCAAACAGGAUUAGAUACCCCUGUAGUC